CGCUCACUCAUUCAACCAACUCGUAUCUUCUCGUCCCCCAUCGUGUAUGACCAUCCAUAGUCCACUUCUCCAGCAGCCAUUCUGCGCAUCCCGGUCCACAAAUUUAAUCCAUGGAUGACUGCCAAUCCUCCCUCCCUCACUCCUCGUAAGUAAGUGAAAGCAAGAAAGUCAAAAGGAUGGUAAACAGCAUUCGCAUACCACCACCCGACCAGCAGCCUCGUCUCCUCUCGCUCCUCUCCCAUGCCUCACUCUCAUUUUCUGAAUAAGUCCCUAAUAACACUUUCUCUCCCUUCAUUGGCCCACAGCAGGGAGACAAGAAGGCACCUUUGUGAUCCUAGCCCAGGGUGAUUGAUCAGGCAUGAUCAGGCAUCAACUAAUUGCAUAAUCAUGCAAGUAGCUCUAAAACAUUAAGAUUGUCUGUGUCGUGGGUUGAGUGAAUUACCCCGACAACGUGUUAUCAUUAUUUCAUGUCUAAAUAUAGUCUGAAUCAGAGAGUCAGUAGGGUCAUUAUUUCAUGUACGUAUGUCAAGUUAGUACUUAUGCAUGAUUACUGAUGCCCGAUGUAUGUACUCUAAAGUAAUAAAGCCAAGUUUAUAAGUUGAUCAACACAA